AUUUAUUAAGAUAAAGCUAUUAAAGUAGUUACUUACUUUAUAGUGAUUUUAUAAAAUGAUGUCAAAGAUACUUUUAUAUGUGAUU
rnacentral:sRNA from 1 species